GUGCCAGCAGCCGCGGUAAUACAGAGGGUGCGACCGUUAAUCGGAAUUACUGGGCGUAAAGCGCACGUAGGUGGCGACGUAAGUCGGGUGUGAAAGCCCGGGCUCAACCUGGAAUUGCAUUCGAGACUGCAUUGCUGGAGUACGGAAGAGGAGGGCGGAAUUUCCGGUGUAGCGGUGAAAUGCGUAGAUAUCGGGAGGAACAUCAGUGGUGAAGGCGGCCCUCUGGUCCAGUACUGACACUCAAGUGCGAAAGCCUGGGGAGCAAACAGGAUUAGAUACCCUGGUAGUCCACGCCCUAAACGAUGACGACUGGAUGUCGGAAGGGUCUGGCUUUCGGUGUCGUAGCUAACGCGUUAAGUCGUCCGCCUGGGGAGUACGGCCGCAAGGUUGAAACUCAAAUGAAUUGACGGG
rnacentral:rRNA from 1 species